rnacentral:lncRNA from 1 species
AUAAGAAUAAUAAAAAACAAAACAGGUAAUUAAAAUAAAGGAAAAUCAAUGAGACAAAAACAGUCAACAAAAAAUAUGUGGCUCUUGUUUCUUCUCAUGGGCUGAGCCUUAGAUUCAAGGGAGAAGUAGUUGGUUACUCCCAUAACAUCUGGGCCACUACUGUACCAGUGCAUCUUGCAGGUAAGUCACUGUUGUAGGUCACAGGGUUUGUGGUGGGCAAUAUUGAAGACUAUUAGUUUAUGUGUAUGGAUGUUUUGACUGCAUGCCUGUCCAUGUACCACAUGCUGGGUCCUCAGAGACCAGAAGAGGGUUUCAGAUUCUCUGGGACUGGAGCUACACUGCUGUGAGCCACCAUGAGUAGCCUGGGGGUCAAACUUGGGUCCUUGGAAGAGCAGGAAGUGUUUUUUACCACUGAGCCAUCAUUCCAGCCCUGUGUGUGAUUUUUUUCAAACUUUUUUAUAACAAGGCUUUUAAAUGUCAUAAUGAAACCCAUCACUUUCUAUGCUUUAAGAAUUAAUAAUGAAUUAUAUCAUAUCUAUAUCUAUAUCAUCUAUCUAUAUCUUCAUGGAAAUGCUUCUGUCAUAGAUUUUUUUGUUAGUUUCUUUAGUUUUUUUCCUUCCACUGAUUCAGAAUUCUCUAAGGACAGUUCAUUAAGCUUCACAGCAAUCUAGAAACAUUCUCAGUGUGCAGUGUAUUUCUUCAGGUAUGGUGCAAAUAUAAUUGUGUCUCACAAACUUAUGAAUGAAUAAAUCCAGCCUAAUUGGCCAUUGCUUCUUUUUCUUGUAGUGAUGUAGGAGAAUAAAUACCAGCCUCAGAAUUACAGCCUGGUUGGCUCUUCUGCACUUUGUCUAUGAAAUAAGGGAAGUACCUGCAUCUUCUCCAUUGAAAGUCUUCCUAGUUGUCAACAGCAGAAUCCUUUCUACUUAUUCUACAAAAUGAGAUAUAAAGAUGUACUCAUACUUGCCAAUAUCAUAGUUGUGUGGAAGAAAUAUACAUCAGUUUGAGCUUCUUGGAACAAGUCUAAAAGCCACAGCACUGAAAGAAAUCAACCAAUGAACUCGUGUCUCUAUAGAGUCAGCAGAGGCCUGCUCAGGUAGCUUCCAUGAUGACUGACAGCUCCAGAAAGGCACUCCACUGAUAAUUUCUGCAUCAGUCAAACAAGUGUCUAGAGCCCUGUCCAAAUCCAUCUAUAUGGUCAAGCAAAAAUCAUAAUCAGGACACUAAUCUAACAGAGUCUCAGAAAUGUACUUUGUUUUGUAGACUAUGGUUUCAGAGAGGUAUAUGAGAGGUCAGGUAGUAUGGGAACCAUGUAAAAUCCUCAAUAAAAAAUACCCUCAAUUGAAUUUAGUAUUUGAAACCCCAGGCUCAUAUCAUGUGUGUUCUUUUGUGAUUGGGUUACCUCACUCAGGAUGAUAUCCUCCAGAUCCAUCCAUUUGUCUAAGAGUUUCUUAAAUUCAUUGUUUUGAAUAGCUGAGUAGUACUCCACUGUGUAAAUGUAUCACAUUUUCUGUAUCCAUUACUCUGUUGAGGGACAUCUGGGUUCUUUCCAGCUUCUGGCUAUUAUAAAUAAAGCUGCUAU